rnacentral:rRNA from 1 species
GAAAACCUUACGAGGAUAAGACAAACGAAGGAUUGACAGAUUGAUCGCUCUUUCUUGAUUGUUUGGGUGGUGGUGCAUGGCCGUUCUUAGUUCGUGGAUUAAUUUGUCUGGUUAAUUCCGUUAACGAACGAGACCUUAACUUGCUAAUUGGGUCGACAUAUUAUAUAUAUUGACCUGUUAGAGGGACCAUGUGUGUCUAACACAAGGAAGCGUGAGGCAAUAA